rnacentral:rRNA from 1 species
UAAGGAAUAUUGGUCAAUGGACGCAAGUCUGAACCAGCCAUGCCGCGUGAAGGAUGAAGGUCCUCUGGAUUGUAAACUUCUUUUAUCUGGGACGAAAACGGGAUUUUUAUCUCAAUUGACGGUACCAGAGGAAUAAGCACCGGCUAACUCCGUGCCAGCAGCCGCGGUAAUACGGAGGGUGCGAGCGUUAUCCGGAUUUACUGGGUUUAAAGGGUGCGUAGGUGGGCUUAUAAGUCAGUGGUGAAAUCUCCGAGCUUAACUUGGAAACUGCCGGUGAUACUAUAGGUCUUGAAUUAUCUGGAGGUAAGCGGAAUAGGUCAGGUAGCGGUGAAAUGCUUAGAUAUGACAUAGAACACCAAUUGCGAAGGCAGCUUACUACAUAUAAAUUGACGCUGAGGCACGAAAGCGUGG